rnacentral:misc_RNA from 1 species
GAAAUGCGAUAAGUAGUGUGAAUUGCAGAAUUCAGUGAAUCAUCGAAUCUUUGAACGCACAUUGCGCCCCUCGGUAUUCCAUGGGGCAUGCCUGUUCGAGCGUCAUCUACACCCUCAAGCUCUGCUUGGUGUUGGGCGUCUGUCCCGCCUCCGCGCGCGGACUCGCCCCAAAUGCAUUGGCAGCGGUUCCUUGCCCCCCUCUUUGCGCAGCACAUUGCCAUUCGAGGCGGCGGCGGCCCGCGUCCAACAAGCUCAACCCCCCCGUCUUUGACCUCGGAUCAGGUAGGGAUACCCGCUGAACUUAAGC